AACCCACCACCAAAAGUGGGGUUUGGAGGAAAGUUUCACAUGUGGUACUGCUCCUUGCCAUCCAUAGACCUCCGGCGAUUAUUGGUAUUGAUGCUAAGAGACUGAAGAGGUUCAAGAACCCUAUCACUGUGUUGCUGAACCUGAAAAGCUUCAACAAUUCAAAUGCUUAUCCCAAUUGCACUAUUUGCUUUCCAUAUAUAUAUAUAUAUAUAUGUAUUCAUAAACUUUAAUUAGUCAGUGACUACAGUGUCCUUCUAGUGUUUGAUUUGGCGUGAGUACAAGCCUACGAUAUUGUGUUAAGAAAAUUUAUUCUUGUAUCAUUGACGCUAAACACUACAAGCCUACGAUAACGCUAUACCGGUGUCAUUGAAGUUGCUCUCCAAUCUUCUAAGCAACACAUAGCUGAUGAGUUGAAGAGGAAUCAGUUCCUUAUACAUUGUCCAACGGCAAGCAAGGAAUAUAUCUAAUUGGUCGACAUGCAUUGGGGUAUGUUGUGCAUGACGUGAGUGAGGUGCUUUUGCUUUUGUGUGGUGCAUGGGACCCCCUUUUGAGCUUCUUUUUGAAGCAUGAUCACAUUGAUCUGAAGCAGGAUUAGGCAGGCCAUGCCAUGACUUUGGCGCCAAGGAAUAGAAUAUUAGAAUAUUAAUCAGAAUAAUAAUCAGAAUACUAAUCAGAAUAUUAAUCAGAAUAUAAUGGAAGGAAAUUUCCUCUCUUCUUAUCCUCUAGUUAUUCAACAUUUUUGUUUGAUUCUCUUUACGGCUCCAAUUGACACCAGUUUUUUGAAUGGAAAAGUUUCCCAAUUAAUUAACUUUCUAAUAAUAUUUAGUUUGGUACGUCAAUUAUAGGAUAAUGAUGAUCUACUUUUGAAGUUUAUAAUCCUUAAGUACCUCAAUGAUAGAAGCAUAAUGAUACUUCUAAAAUGAACAUGUAUGGUACAGAUAGACUGUCACAAUGGUGUCCCAAUGAAAUAAAAUACGUAUAAAUUUUUGUUCACUUAUUUUUAUUUUAUUAGCACUAAACGUUAUGUGACAAUAUAACCGUAUCAUGUACAUUAUUCUCCAUUUGAAUCCCUCACAAACGCUUAGCAUAAGCCUUGAUGUAGGCUCCACAAUCCACAUAGAUAUGCCUUAAUAAACAAGUAGAAGUACAGAGCGCAACUAGCCAUAGGUUGGCCAUGGUUAUAUAGCCCGAUUCUGAGAAUGAGGUUUAAGUUUGCUGGUCACUGGUGAUCCGUAGGAGCUAAUAGGUGCUUUCAUAAGAGCAAGUUCAUUUUACUAAGGCAAUUACUGGUCAGACAAUUAAGGUAAUUACUUUCGUAGUGAAUAUUAAUUGUUGAAGUGCAUCUCUAUUCUGUAAAUGAAUUGUCAGACAAAUUGGUAUUAAAAAAAUUAUUUUUCUAAAAGAUAAUUUUAUGUUUAAUUUCAUAUAGAGAUUUUUAACCAAUUUCGUCACGCUAUGUGUCAUCAUUUGAAAUUUCUUUAAAUCUCAUUUAGAUUGUUAACCAAUCUCGUAGCGCUACAUGUUGUUUUAAAAUGAGGUGUAGGAUGGAAGAGAAUAGUUGAGUAUUUAUAUAAAAAAUUAUAAAUCUUUUAAAUAUUUUAUGGUUUUUUUGUAUAAUUCUUAUCUUACAUAAUUAAUAUGGACCGUUGUAUUACAUUUUUUUACAAUCCAACAGCCCAGAUUUUAACACAUGGCCCCAACGGUAAUAAUAGAAUUUUUGCUGAUUUUUUCUUUUUUUUU